GAUGAAGAACGUAGCGAAAUGCGAUAAGUAAUGUGAAUUGCAGAAUUCAGUGAAUCAUCGAAUCUUUGAACGCACAUCGCGCCCGCCAGUGUUCUGGCGGGCAUGCCUGUUCGAGCGUCAUUACAACCCUCAGGCCCCCGGGCCUGGCGUUGGGGAUCGGCGGAGCCCCCCGUGGGCACACGCCGUCCCCCAAAUGCAGUGGCGGUCCCGCCGCAGCUUCCAUCGCGUAGUAGCUAACACCUCGCGACUGGAGAGCGGCGCGGCCACGCCGUAAAACACCCAACUCUUCUGAAGUUGACCUCGAAUCAGGUAGGAAUACCCGCUGAACUUAAGCAUAUCAAUAAGCGGAGGA
rnacentral:misc_RNA from 1 species